UUUAAUGACGCAGGCGGCUCCGGCAGCCAGGCUGGGCGGCGCGGCCCACACCUUGGCUGACGGGCUGGGGUACCCUGGCUGGUAAUGAACUCUCAGAGGGUCCGGGAGCAGGGCAGCUGUGUUCCCAGCCGGCUUCCUGGGGAAUGUGGAGCAGGCGCCGGGCCCACCGCUUGCCAGGCCGAGGUCUGUGUGAGCAGAUAAAGUGAGGGGCUGAGGGCCUGGAACAGCUGUGGCGGGCCAGGCUGACUGGGAGAGGCUGAUAAGAGCCCAGAAGGAGCCCAGGCGGGCGGCGUGGCAGCGCCAGAAAUCUGACGGGGUAUCACUACUGGCAAAGAAAGUUAAACACGGCCGGAUCCGGGGGAUGGUUGGCGGACCUGCGGAGAAAGAUAAUGGCAUUGCUCCCUGACAAUGGGCUAACCAGGCUGAUUCGAGUCGCUGCGGGCUCAUGCCGCCUGCCUGCACUGUAGGUGAGGCUUUCAGCCGGCCUUUUAUUGAGUCACUGACAACGUGUGCAUGCUGGGACACACCUGCUUGCAGAAACACGCGUGAAUGCAGAACUCUGACACUCCCGCCUAUCCCACUGCACGGUCCCGGGUGCUGCUUCCAGGGCCAGUCCCGUCAUGUCCCAGGGAGCCCCUAUGUUGGCUCCAGGAUCUUAAGCAAAUAAAACACUCUAAAAAAUUU